UUUAGACCAAUGAAAUUUGAGCUGGGCAUGGCUUUGACUCUUCGUCUUGGGGUGAAACAGUCCUUUUUGGAGCCACAGCCAACCUGGACACACUGCCUGCAGAAGAUGGCUUGUGGAUGAAGAGGAAAAUGAAGAUGAAGUUUCACAGGAAGAUGUUCCACGCUCACCCCGUUGGAGAA